rnacentral:sRNA from 1 species
CUGUUCUCAAGGGGAGGGAGGGAAUUAAGGCCCACUUCUUUUUUUUUUUUUUUUUUUUUUUUGAGACAAGAGUCUGGCUCUGUCGCCCAGGCUGGAGUGCAGUGGCGCCAUCUCGGCUCACUGCAAGCUCCGCCUCCCGGGUUCAUGCCAUUCUCCUGCCUCAGCCUCCCGACUAGCUGGGACUACAGGCGCCUGCCACCACGCCCGGCUAAUUUUUUGUAUUUUUAGUAGAGACGGGGUUUCAUCGUGUUAGCCAGGAUGGUCUCGAUCUGCUGACCUCGUCAUCCGCCCGCUUCGGCCUCCCAAAGUGCUGGGAUGACAGGCGUGAGCCACCGCACCCGGCCAAGGCCCACUUCUUAAGGAAUUAGAGGACGCAUUUAAGAUGACCACAGGUCACGUGAGUGGUUCUUUAGCUCUGAAGUCUCAGAAGUGCUUUCUGAAGGGGGGGCUACUGAGCACCACAGAACCUGGCCUUCCAUCUGCCCUGGGCUCACAGCCUCACCUGGGGAGCAGGCGGCCGUUCUCUGUACCUGGCGUGAGGUCUCCUGGCCACGGACGUUGUUGGCGUCACACCUGUGGCACCUGAGGUGAAUUGUUCAGAUGGAAACAGCACCGUCAGGCAAUUGGCAACAGAAGCCCAAAGCCCUGGGUGCCUCAGGUCAGAGGGAGGAAGGAAUGCAAGGGCCCCGCUCCCCCCAGUGCCAGGAGCGUGUGUUCACAGCUUUAGGCAGGACAACCCACUGCAAAUCCAAAGCAGAAAACAUGGUCCAACUCCAUCUCUGUGGCACCUUCACAGAUGGUGCCCACCUGCCUUGGCAGUGAUGACCGACACUGCGAACGCUGUGCUGGCAGUGUGUUUAAGGGCUUUAACUGAAUCGUCUCGAUGGAGCUGAAAUCCAGCCCCAUUUUACAGAAGAGAAAACUGAGGCUUAGAGAGAUCAGGUGUCAAGUUCUAUGCCAAGCACAGGGAAGCAAAAACAGGACACACUCAACAUAAAGUGGCCCCAGGAAUCGGUGGCCAGGACACGGGAGGUGUGCUGAGUGCAGAUGGGCAGAUGCAAGCUGAGGUGGCCUGUUGGAGGGUCCUGGACCUUCCGGAAAAGAGGACAUCAGCUGCUCAGGGAGGGAAGAUUUGAGAUAGACUCUGGCUGGUGUGGAUCAGCCCAUGGUGUGUUUGCAGGCAGGGACACCUUGAACAGACAUGGGCUGAGGGGAGUUUGUGUGGAGCGUGGCCAGUGAAGGCUGGGCUGGCCGGCAGGGUCCGCUGGUCAUGGGAGGCCUGGCCUGCAGCAGCAGGGCCCAUCAAAGACGUGGGGACGGAUGGCUGAUGGACAGCGUUUUAGAAGGUCGCAGGCUUGUUUAGGCUGAGGCCAGGGAGGGUUAGGGUCCUCAGGGAGGGAGAGUAAGCUAGGGGAGCCUCCUGCCUAGAAGACUUUGUACCUGAGGCCGUCCCCUAGGAGUUCAGCCACCCCGUGGAGAGCCUGGCGCUGACUGUGGAAGAGGUGAUGGACGUGCGCCGUGUGCUGGUGAAGGCCGAGAUGGAAAAGUUUUUGCAGAACAAGGAGCUCUUCAGCAGUCUGAAGAAGGGGAAGAUUUGCUGCUGCUGCCGGGCCAAGUUCCCGCUGUUCUCGUGGCCGCCCAGCUGUCUCUUCUGCAAGAGAGCCGUCUGCACUUCCUGUAGCAUAAAGAUGAAGAUGCCUUCUAAGAAGUUUGGACACAUCCCUGUCUACACACUGGGCUUUGAGAGUCCUCAGAGGGUAUCAGCUGCCAAAACCGCGCCAAUCCAGAGAAAAGACAUCUUUCAGUCUCUGCAGGGGCCACAGUGGCAGAGCGUGGAGGAGGCGUUCCCCCACAUCUACUCCCACGGCUGUGUCCUGAAGGAUGUCUGCAGUGAGUGCACCAGCUUUGUGGCAGACGUGGUGCGUUCCAGCCGCAAGAGCGUGGACGUCCUCAAUACUACGCCACGACGCAGUCGCCAGACCCAAUCCCUCUACAUCCCUAACACCAGGACUCUUGACUUCAAGUGACAGCCCCAGGUGGCCAGGCCUCCAGGAGGCACCAGGCAGGCCCUGUAUCAGGCUAGGACGCUCUGAGCUGUGCAUGUACAUAUAUACAUAUAUAGAUACAUUUAUAAUAUAUACACACAGCCUAUAUAUUUAUAU